UGAGNNACUGGAAGGUCCUCAGGCCGAAAGGGGCUCUGCCCGCCCGAGGAUGGGCCGGCGGCCGAUUAGGUAGUUGGUGGGGUAACGGCCCACCAAGCCGAAGAUCGGUACGGGCCAUGAGAGUGGGAGCCCGGAGAUGGACACUGAGACACGGGUCCAGGCCCUACUGGGCGCAGCAGGCGCGAAACCUCCGCAAUGCGGGCAACCGCGACGGGGGGACCCCCAGUGCCGUGGCAACGCCACGGCUUUUCCGGAGUGUAAAAAGCUCCGGGAAUAAGGGCUGGGCAAGGCCGGUGGCAGCCGCCGCGGUAAUACCGGCGGCCCGAGUGGUGGCCGCUAUUAUUGGGCCUAAAGCGUCCGUAGCCGGGCCCGUAAGUCCCUGGCGAAAUCCCACGGCUCAACCGUGGGGCUUGCUGGGGAUACUGCGGGCCUUGGGACCGGGAGAGGCCGGGGGUACCCCUGGGGUAGGGGUGAAAUCCUAUAAUCCCAGGGGGACCGCCAGUGGCGAAGGCGCCCGGCUGGAACGGGUCCGACGGUGAGGGACGAAGGCCAGGGGAGCGAACCGGAUUAGAUACCCGGGUAGUCCUGGCUGUAAAGGAUGCGGGCUAGGUGUCGGGCGAGCUUCGAGCUCGCCCGGUGCCGAAGGGAAGCC
rnacentral:rRNA from 1 species